rnacentral:rRNA from 1 species
UUAAACUCAAAGGAAUUGGCGGGGGCCCGCACAAGCGGUGGAGCAUGUGGUUUAAUCCGAUGGUACGCGUAGGACCUUACCUGGGCUCGAACGCACUCGGAAGACCUGCCGAAAGGUGGGUCGUCUCCGUCAGGGGACUGGGUGCGAGGUGCUGCAUGGCUGUCGUCAGCUCGUGCUGUGAGGUGUUGGGUUAAGUCCCGCAACGAGCGCAACCCCUGUCCGCAGUUGCCCUUCAUGGGAACUCUGCGGGGACCGCUCCCGCAAGGGAGAGGAAGGAGGGGACGACGUCAAGUCAUCAUGGCCCUUACGUCCAGGGCGACACACGUGCUACAAUGGGAGGGGACAACGGGUAGCAACCGGGCGACCGGAAGCCAAUCCCUCAAACCCCCCCUCAGUUCAGAUUGGAGUCUGCAACUCGACUCCAUGAAGCCGGAAUCGCUAGUAAUCGCGGAUCAGCCAUGCCGCGGUGAAUACGUUCCCGGGCCUUGCACACACCGCCCGUCACGCCAUGGGAGCCGGGGGCACCCAAAGGCGCCUCAA